rnacentral:rRNA from 3 species
AAACUAACAAGGAUUCCCCUAGUAGCGGCGAGCGAAGCGGGAAAAGCUCAAAUUUGUAAUCUGGCGUCUUCGACGUCCGAGUUGUAAUCUCGAGAAGUGUUUUCCGUGAUAGACCGCAUACAAGUCUCUUGGAACAGAGCGUCAUAGUGGUGAGAACCCAGUACACGAUGCGGAUGCCUAUUACUUUGUGAUACACUUUCGAAGAGUCGAGUUGUUUGGGAAUGCAGCUCAAAUUGGGUGGUAAAUUCCAUCUAAAGCUAAAUAUUGGCGAGAGACCGAUAGCGAACAAGUACCGUGAGGGAAAGAUGAAAAGCACUUUGGAAAGAGAGUUAACAGUACGUGAAAUUGUUGGAAGGGAAACACAUGCAGUGAUACUUGCUAUUCGGGGCAACUCGAUUGGCAGGCCCGCAUCAGUUUUCCGGGGCGGAAAAGCAUAGAGAGAAGGUAGCAGUUUCGGCUGUGUUAUAGCUCUUUAUUGGAUUCGCCCUGGGGGAUUGAGGAACGCAGCGUGCUUUUUGCAUGAGCUUCGGCUUAUCCACGCUUAGGAUGCGGGUUUAUGGCUGUAUAUGACCCGUCUUGAAACACGGACC